rnacentral:lncRNA from 1 species
GCCUGCUGGCGCGCCAUCCUGAACACCCUGUGCCAGCAGGCCAGACUUGCUCUACGUGUGGCACGAGGUGACCGGCCUGCUGGCGCGCCAUCCUGAACACCCUGUGCCAGCAGGCCAGCUUUUUGUAGUGACCAAGGGUUUUCUUAGUGACGCACGUGGCCGAAGCUGUCAGAGUUGUGACGCGUCAUCCGAAGGCUGUAGGUUCCAUCCCCAGCUGCG